CUUUCAACUUUUUCUCACAAUUAUCUAUCAAAUCAAAUAUGAAAAUGGGCACAACAAAAUCUUUAGCUAUUUUCUUAACCUUCUUUUUCUUAGUCACUUGCAUCCAAUGCCGUCCAAUCACAAAUCAUUCUAAUGAAUCAAUCAACCAUUCAAAUUCUCAUAGCCAACGCAUGAAAGUUCAUCAACUUGGUGGCUCAUCAGUUUCUCUAACUGAAGCCAAGAACUCGGGUCCGAGUCCUGGGGAAGGCCAUAAUGUGGUACACAAUGAACACAAUUGAUAUUAUUCUGAUUUUUAUGUCCGAAGUUGCAAUAGUACAUACACAGUUCGUAAUUAUUCAUCACUGCGCAUUUUCUUUAAAUCUUUUAUUUAAUUUUUCAAAAUUUUAUUGACGAGUACUCUAAUAUAACCGGCAGCUAACUAUAUAUUCUACUUUGAUUUCUAUUUUUUUUCGUAAACAUCAAUAAUGUUAAUUUGAUUUGUCUUUAUCAUCUAUAUGAAUUUAUUUCUAUGUUAUGUUUACAAAAUUACUGUUGUUUCAACUUUCCAUCGUAUUGGCAUUUGCUUGACGGGCUGUGGAUUAUGCUUGCAAGAAAUAGAAAUAGAGAAGGGCCGCAUCACAAGGAUCUAUUGUGAUUUGUACUUAAUUUUAUUCAGCAUUUCUGCAAAAGCUUGUUUCCGUAACUAUUGUAAAUUUUGUAUUUUUCCAAAUAUAAAAUUUUGGGUGCUAAAUUAUUGCGUCACACAAAAUUUUGCGUGCCAUGAUAUACUAGUCAUUGACCACGAUGCAUGUGUCCUAUUUCAGUUAGUUAUUCACAGUGAUGUUACUUGAGAAAAAAGCAUUACUACUGGUCAAGUUGAUGACUCUUCUCUUAAAAGCUUUGAGUGAUUAAAAAGUCAUUUUUGUAACUUGUAGUAGUACUUAUUAAAUAAGGCCAUUUGCUUCAA